GCUAUUAAGGAAUCCCUUAAAAGAAUUCAAAAAGUAGAGCGGAGACUUGAUUUAGAUUUUUGUCUAGUUCAAAAUGUGAGCUGCCUAAUAUAGUUGCUUUUGUAAUUAAGAAAAAACAGCCAAUGACAUCACCAGUGUACACGUAAAGCACUUUUGAAAAUAAAAGGAAAAUACUUGAAUCAGAGAGCAUGACAAUGGAAUAUCAUCUGUGGUCAUCCAGAUGUCUAAAUAAUCUCUAUAGUUUCACUGCAUACUGUUCAUUAUUAGCAUCCCAAUUUCAUAGUGUUACAGUGUUGUGUUGUUUUGUUUUGCUUUUAGUUUUUUUACUCCCCUAAAGGCCUUAGCCAAACUUCUUGUCCUUAUUUUGGGCCACUUGCGAAAAAACACCUCUUUCUUCUCUCUCCUAAAUUUAAAAGAGUGAAGGCUGCACCUCAUAACAGUUCAGUUGGCACAGCAGAAAUAUUACUCACUCCAUCUAUUGCCUGAGUUUCCACAAUGAUUUCUGCAGUCCUCUGAAUUUCAGGAAAAAUGUUUUUCAGAAUGUAUCUGAGAUAUCAGUCACAUGGUUUCUGCCUGAGGAAACAAUCCAGUGUCAUCCUUAUGCUGUUCCCUGCUGGCAAAGAACAAAGUUGACUUCAAAAGAAAAUCAUUGUCUUGAGCCAUUUCUAGUAUGGAAGACCAAAGAGCAUUUUUUUCAACAGUGUUUUUCAAAAGGGCUAUUUUACAUUAACAGGCCUUGGUAUCACACCAACUGUGGUUAUAGAAAGAGUCAGCACCCCACGACAAAAGCCUCAAAGAAAAAGUCUUGAAUCUAACCUCCAACUUAUUGAGUUUGAUAGACUGUGUUUGUGUAAUUAAAUACAUUACAGAUUAGAUCUGUCAAAAUGUAUAAUCCUUAAUGAGAACAAUGCAGGAUGACAACAUGGGAGCUAUUAAGCUAUUGGUCCUAGAAACUCC
rnacentral:lncRNA from 1 species